rnacentral:rRNA from 1 species
UAUGUGAUCGUCUCUCGCAUAUCAAUAAGCGGAGGAAAAGAAACUAACAAGGAUUCCCUUAGUAACGGCGAGUGAAGCGGGAAGAGCUCAAAUUUGAAAUCUUCAAGGUUUUACCUUGACGAAUUGUGGUUUAAAGAAGUGUUUGCUGUUGAAGUUUUGGUAAAAGUUCUUUGGAAUAGGACAUCAUAGAGGGUGAGAAUCCCGUAUUUGACCAUUAUUUUCAGCUGUGUGAUACACUUUCAAAGAGUCGGAUUGUUUGGGAAUGCAGUCCAAAAUGGGUGGUAAAUUUCAUCUAAAGCUAAAUAUUGGCGAGAGACCGAUAGCGAACAAGUACCGUGAGGGAAAGAUGAAAAGAACUUUGAAAAGAGAGUUAAACAGUACGUGAAAUUGUCAAAAGGGAAGCGUUUGACACCAGUGUUGUUUUCUCGAAAAUCAAUUAAAAAGAGUUUGAUUUUGUUGUGUAUUGACCUUAACAGCUUGCAUUUCAAUUUUCUUGCUUUUUUUAAUGCACGUUUCGUUUAACAAGUCAACAUCAGUUUCUUUUGUUGUAAAAAGGUCAUUGGAAGGUGGCUUUCUUUUCGGAGAAAGUGUUUAUAGCCUUUGACUCCUGCAAUCGGAGAGACUGAGGUCUGCAGCGUAGAUCCUUCGGGGUUAGAUACAUUUGUGCUAAGUUAUAGCUUUUUAUAGACAACUUGUUGACUAUGAUUAGUCUUGUAGCUUACUCGCUUAUGCUAUUUUACCUACGCUUAGGAUGUUGAAGAUGUAGCACAUCAU